CAGCCGCCACGGUAAUACGUAGGGCGCAAGCGUUAUCCGGAAUUAUUGGGCGUAAAGAGCUCGUAGGCGGUUUGUCGCGUCUGCCGUGAAAGUCCGGGGCUCAACCCCGGAUCUGCGGUGGGUACGGGCAGACUAGAGUGAUGUAGGGGAGACUGGAAUUCCUGGUGUAGCGGUGAAAUGCGCAGAUAUCAGGAGGAACACCGAUGGCGAAGGCAGGUCUCUGGGCAUUAACUGACGCUGAGGAGCGAAAGCAUGGGGAGCGAACAGGAUUAGAGACCCCUGUAGUCCCUGUCUCUUAUAC
rnacentral:rRNA from 1 species